rnacentral:rRNA from 1 species
UUGGCUUAGAAGCAGCCAUCAUUUAAAGAGUGCGUAAUAGCUCACUAGUCGAGUGACACUGCGCCGAAAAUGUACCGGGGCUAAACAUAUUACCGAAGCUGUGGAUUGUCCUUUGGACAAUGGUAGGAGAGCGUUCUAAGGGCGUUGAAGCAUGAUCGUAAGGACAUGUGGAGCGCUUAGAAGUGAGAAUGCCGGUGUGAGUAGCGAAAGACGGGUGAGAAUCCCGUCCACCGAUUGACUAAGGUUUCCAGAGGAAGGCUCGUCCGCUCUGGGUUAGUCGGGUCCUAAGCUGAGGCCGACAGGCGUAGGCGAUGGAUAACAGGUUGAUAUUCCUGUACCACCUAUAAUCGUUUUAAUCGAUGGGGGGACGCAGUAGGAUAGGCGAAGCGUGCGAUUGGAUUGCACGUCUAAGCAGUAAGGCUGAGUAUUAGGCAAAUCCGGUACUCAUUAAGGCUGAGCUGUGAUGGGGAGAAGACAUUGUGUCUUCGAGUCGUUGAUUUCACACUGCCGAGAAAAGCCUCUAGAUAGAAAAUAGGUGCCCGUACCGCAAACCGACACAGGUAGUCAAGAUGAGAAUUCUAAGGUGAGCGAGCGAACUCUCGUUAAGGAACUCGGCAAAAUGACCCCGUAACUUCGGGAGAAGGGGUGCUCUUUAGGGUUAACGCCCAGAAGAGCCGCAGUGAAUAGGCCCAAGCGACUGUUUAUCAAAAACACAGGUCUCUGCUAAACCGUAAGGUGAUGUAUAGGGGCUGACGCCUGCCCGGUGCUGGAAGGUUAAGAGGAGUGGUUAGCUUCUGCGAAGCUACGAAUCGAAGCCCCAGUAAACGGCGGCCGUAACUAUAACGGUCCUAAGGUAGCGAAAUUCCUUGUCGGGUAAGUUCCGACCCGCACGAAAGGCGUAACGAUUUGGGCACUGUCUCAACGAGAGACUCGGUGAAAUCAUAGUACCUGUGAAGAUGCAGGUUACCCGCGACAGGACGGAAAGACCCCGUGGAGCUUUACUGUAGCCUGAUAUUGAAAUUCGGCACAGCUUGUACAGGAUAGGUAGGAGCCUUUGAAACGUGAGCGCUAGCUUACGUGGAGGCGCUGGUGGGAUACUACCCUAGCUGUGUUGGCUUUCUAACCCGCACCACUUAUCGUGGUGGGAGACAGUGUCAGGCGGGCAGUUUGACUGGGGCGGUCGCC